GUCGGGCACUGUGGCUCGUACCUGUAAUCCCAGCACUUUGGGAGGCCAAGAUGGGUGGAUCACCUGAGGUCAGGAGUUCCAGACCAGCCUGGCCAACAUGGUGAAACCCUGUCUCUACUAAAAAUANNNNNNNNNNUAUUUUUAGUAGAGACAGGGUUUCACCAUGUUGGCCAGGCUGGUCUGGAACUCCUGACCUCAGGUGAUCCGCCCACCUC
rnacentral:SRP_RNA from 1 species